CCUACGGGGGGCUGCAGUGAGGAAUUUUCGUCAAUGGGGGCAACCCUGAACGAGCAACGCCGCGUGGAGGAUGAAGGUUUUCGGAUCGUAAACUCCUUUUCUUUGGGACGAGAACGGACGGUACCAGAGGAAGAAGCCCCGGCUAACUACGUGCCAGCAGCCGCGGUAAUACGUAGGGGGCGAGCGUUGUCCGGAUUUAUUGGGCGUAAAGCGCACGCAGGCGGUCGCGUCAGUUCGUGAUGACAGUUCUCGGCUUAACUGAGAAAGUGUUAUGAAUACUGCGCGACUUGAGGGCUUCAGAGGGAUGCGGAACUCCGGGUGUAGUGGUGAAAUGCGUAGAUAUCCGGAAGAACACCAAAGGCGAAGGCAGCAUCCUGGGAAGUACCUGACGCUCAGGUGCGAAAGCUAGGGGAGCGAACGGGAUUAGAUACCCCGGUAGUC
rnacentral:rRNA from 1 species